CUUCCUUCCUAGAUUCCCCAACUUUCUGACAAUCACUCAUUGUUUUAAUUUAAUAAUGCAAUUUUUUAGCUUUGUUUUUACAGCAUCUUGUUGUUCUCUUUAUAUCUUUUGAUCCCAUGGAAAGAGGAGCUAUUUUUCUCAGAGCCAAAGACGAGUUGCUGAAAUGGCUGCCAGCAGAACUGUGAUGUUAAAAAAAAAAAAUCUUGCAAACUGGAAAUGGUUGAGCCAGUGGGAGGUCUUUAACAUUCCUCCUACCCUAUCUACUUGGAUGCCAGUCUCCCUCCUCCUGAAGUGUGAGCUUUGUGAGUAUUAAAAUAGCCACCUUACCAAUCAUAUCUGAUGAAGAGUUCCUUCUAGCACAUGUGAUAUUUUAAGGACUUAAUAUUUACCCUCCUCCGUCAUGUUUCUGUGAUCCCUGUUGUCUUUUGCAGUUUAUGGGACUUGGAUGGGAACUCCUCAAAGCCUCAGGAAUCACUGCUGCACCGUACAAAAUGAUCCACCCUAAGCCUGUGCAAACCUCCUCUGAAGUGCUCCAAGCUUCUUCCUUACCUGUGCUGAUUGUCUCCAAAAUGUCCUUUCUGAGAUAUCUCCAGCUUAGUUUCUUCCCAUCCUUAGUCUCACAUCAUGGACAUUACUCAACUUAAUUGAAGAACAUCAAAGCUA
rnacentral:lncRNA from 1 species